rnacentral:rRNA from 1 species
AGGUCCCGCCUGCCCAGUGACCCCAGUUCAACGGCCGCGGUAUCCUAACCGUGCGAAGGUAGCGUAAUCACUUGUUCUUUAAAUCAGGACUAGUAUGAACGGCACCACGAGGGUUAUACUGUCUCCUUUUUCUAAUCAGUGAAACUAAUCUCCCCGUGAAGAAGCGGGGAUAUAACUAUAAGACGAGAAGACCCUAUGGAGCUUCAAAUUUUUAUUUCAACUGCUGCACUCAUAUAAAAGUUCCGACUUCUCACAUUUCACUUAGCAUUAUGACAAUAAAUUUUAGGUUGGGGUGACCGCGGAGAAUAAAAAAACCUCCGCAUUGAAUUAGACUUACUAAGUCUUGAGCCAAGAGCUACGACUCUACGUACUAAAACACUAACAUCCAUUGACCCAAUUACUUGAUCAACGAACCAAGUUACCCUAGGGAUAACAGCGCAAUCCACUUCAAGAGCCCCUAUCAACAAGUGGGUUUACGACCUCGAUGUUGGAUCAGGGUAUCCCAGUGGUGCAACCGCUACUAAAGGUUCGUUUGUUCAACGAUUAAAACCCU